GCGCGAAAACUUUACAAUGCGGGCAACCGCGAUAAGGGGACCUCGAGUGCUGGGUUACAAACCUGGCUGUUGGGCUGCCUAAAAAGCAGUCUAUAGCAAGGGCCGGGCAAGACCGGUGCCAGCCGCCGCGGUAACACCGGCGGCUCGAGUGGUAACCGCUGUUAUUGGGUCUAAAGGGUCUGUAGCCUGCCGGCUAAGUCUCUUGGGAAAUCUGGCAUCUCAAGUGUCAGGCUGCCAGGGGAUACUGGUCGGCUUGGGACCGGGAGAGGUGAGAGGUACCUCAGGGGUAGGGGUGAAAUCUUGUAAUCCUUGAGGGACCACCAGUGGCGAAGGCGUCUCACCAGAACGGAUCCGACGGCAAGGGACGAAAGCUAGGGGCACGAACC
rnacentral:rRNA from 1 species